GCCUACGACCAUACCACUUUGAGAACAUUCCGUGAAGCAACGUCGGGCCCUGUUAGUACUUGGAUUUGUGUCGUAGGCU
rnacentral:rRNA from 1 species